GGAAAGAGGACCCAGUCAAAACUAACAAACCGCUGCUCAGCUGCUUCAGAAAGACCACUAUCUUCUCUAUGUAGUUCCCAGUGAGGAUGAACAAGAUGAUCCCACGAAGGAUGGGCCUCUAUAAAUCUAUCUGUUGGCUACAAAUCAGUGUUUAACAGAGAAGGAGAGCUCAAAGUGAUGUUAAGAUUUAAAUAUGC
rnacentral:lncRNA from 1 species